CCAGACUCCUACGGGAGGCAGCAGUGGGGAAUAUUGCACAAUGGGGGAAACCCUGAUGCAGCAACGCCGCGUGAAGGAAGACGGUUUUCGGAUUGUAAACUUCUAUCAAUAGGGAAGAAAGAAAUGACGGUACCUAAAUAAGAAGCCCCGGCUAACUACGUGCCAGCAGCCGCGGUAAUACGUAGGGGGCAAGCGUUAUCCGGAAUUACUGGGUGUAAAGGGAGAGUAGGCGGCAAGGUAAGCGAUAUGUGAAAGCCUUAAGCUUAACUUAAGGAUGGCAUAACGAACUAUCUAGCUAGAGUACAGGAGAGGAAAGCGGAAUUCCUAGUGUAGCGGUGAAAUGCGUAGAUAUUAGGAAGAACACCAGUGGCGAAGGCGGCUUUCUGGACUGAAACUGACGCUGAGGCUCGAAAGCGUGGGGAGCGAACAGGAUUAGAUACCCUCGUA
rnacentral:rRNA from 1 species